GCCGUCAAAACUACAUUGCAACAUCUGUUGCUCAUCGAACUUCUCCUCCUUCUCUCUCUGCAAAUUGUUGUGCUUGAAAUUCCGGGGCAAGAUAAGCCUCGCAAACUCCACAGGGUCCCAAACCACGAAGCUUCUUCCAGUAGAACCCCACGAUAUGAUCAAAUCCAGCGACGGGUCGUCCACCAAAUCAAAUGUCUUUGCACAAAAACGGCGGCACCGGAGUCUCCUGCAGACACUGAAGCGGCUGCGGCACUCCAAUUUGGGAUAUGAAGUAUAAAGGUUUAAACCUCUUUAGUUUGGGAUAUGAAGUAUAAAGGUUUAAACCUCUUUAGUUAUGCAGUCACUCCAAUUAUAUGUAGAGUUUGGCAGAGAGUGAACACUGCAAACUCUUGAAAGGUCGCCCAUUUCAGUUUCAGGUUGAACUCGCCUAGCACAUUUAUAAUGGAUUUGGAAGUUUUGGGAUUGUUUGCUUGUUUCUGGGUUAUUAGUAUUUACGUUAGGAAAGAUUUUAGAAUCAGAAGUGAUGAAGUUAGUGCUCGUAAAGUAGAUUCUUCUAAUAUUGGCAAAGUAGAGAGAUAUGUAUGAUUCAGUAUAUGGUGGUGGUAGAAUGGACCUAAAAUACUUAUUCAUUUGAUCUGUUUACCAAUCUACCUGUACAUGUUUAUUGCAUUACCAUGGCUAAUAAUAAACUACAGCAUACCUACUAGGCUAAGUAGGCAUCCUGUAUCAGUUGCAUGAGUUAGCCAUUAUAGUUUUUCUUUAAUCCUAUAUAUUGUAAUAGUUUCUUCCCUGACUGUAGCAAGUUCGUACCAUCUUCCGCAGGAUCCUAAUUCAAAGCAUCUAGGAACUAUGGUUUGGGAUGCAUCACUGGUAUUCGCCAAGUUUCUGGCAAUGACUGUAACACUCUAGAGACUCUUAUUGGGGAUCCUGUUUGGAUUGACAGAGCUAUGUAUGCGCUGAAGAAGUCGGAUGGGAUUAUGGAGGAGGUGACCGAGGAGGAGUUGAUGGAUGCCCAAGUGGAUUCUACUGGCAUGUUUAUAUUUCCUCACACUGGUGUGGUGCUGGCGGCGUUGAUUAAGCUCCAGAUUUGGCCUGCCGGUUUGCCAACCCACCGGUUCAAGUGGGGCUGAUUUUGGGUCGAUAUGGAUGUUUUGAAGAAAUACUUGAGUAAUUCAGAGGCUCCAAAGCAUUAGUUUUGUAGAGGGCAUUGUGAGUGUGUUCUGCUCUACUGCUUCAUGUACUCUAAAUUUUAUUCGUUAUUUUUGCUUAAAGCGUUUAGGCAUUGGUAUU